CUCGUCCAUGGCACGUUUCCACUUCUCGCUUUUGCUGCAUCUUCAUAGCUUAUUGGCUCACAAUCGGCAAGAAGGCAGAACAAUGUUAGAUCCUCCAUAGGCUGAGUUACCUCGUACAACUCCUCAAUGCUCCUUGUGCGAUGUUGUAGCCUACUUGAUUCUCCUCCUGAUGUUGGUGUCGUUUCAUUUGGUGUGGUUAGAGUAU
rnacentral:lncRNA from 1 species